AUACGUAGGGAGCGAGCGUUGUCCGGAAUUGCUGGGUGUAAAGGGAGCGUAGGCGGGAGUGCAAGUCAGAUGUGAAAUACAUGGGCUCAACCCAUGGGCUGCAUUUGAAACUGCAUUUCUUGAGUGAAGUAGAGGUAAGCGGAAUUCCUGGUGUAGCGGUGAAAUGCGUAGAUAUCAGGAGGAACACCGGUGGCGAAGGCGGCUUACUGGGCUUUUACUGACGCUGAGGCUCGAAAGCGUGGGGAGCAAACAGGAUUAGAUACCCUGGUAGUCCACGCUGUAAACGAUGAUUACUAGGUGUGGGGGGACUGACCCCUUCCGUGCCGCAGUUAACACAAUAAGUAAUCCACCUGGGGAGUACGGCCGCAAGGUUGAAACUCAAAUGAAUUGACGGGG
rnacentral:rRNA from 1 species